AGGUAUAAUGACCUGAAUAAAAUAGGGUUCAUUAAGCAAACCCGGGGAACUGAAACAUCUCAGUACCCGGAGGAAAGGACAUCAACCGAGACUCCCGUAGUAGUGGCGAGCGAACCGGGACCAGGCCAGUGCUGUCGUGACAUAAAGCUGAACGACUUGGAAAGGUCGGCCAUAGUGGGUGAUAGCCCCGUAAGCGUCAAUUAGCGACAGACUCGAGUAGGGCGGGACACGUGAAAUCCUGUCUGAACAUGGGGGGACCAUCCUCCAAGGCU
rnacentral:rRNA from 13 species